CUCGCGGUAGCUCAAUGGUAGAGCGGAGGAUUGUAGCGGCAGUGUUCUGCUAGAUAAUGCUCCUUAGGUUGCUGGUUCGAUUCCGGUCCGUGAGA
rnacentral:tRNA from 1 species